GUCACACAUUCAAGAUUUGUAUCAAUGCAAGAAAGGCUUGAGUGUUUCUACUUUGGUGAACAGUCGGAAUCAGAAACCCUAGCCGGAGCCAUUUGUCGCCUGCACUAAAGGCACCAAAAAGAUAAAUAAACCCUUCUUCUCCACGAUUCAGGUUGCUUCGUUUUCAGGGAAUUUGGUUACCUAAUCAGUAUUGUUGGCAGUGUUGUUGGGUGAAUCUGUAUGGUUGAAUAUACCCAGAUCAGGAAAUAAGGUUUUAUUUGUUUUGGGUUUUGUCGAACAUAUCAAGACUCCGAGGAAAGGUGAUGUCAUUAAGAAGCAGAUCAAGGAUGUUUUUGACAGAGAGCUUUAAGGAAACUGAAGCAUUGGGACGGUUUGGAGCAUAUACUUCAUAACCAAGUACUAAUGGUAGCAGCAUUUUCUUCUCGAGGCCUGAAUAUAAAAGAUCAUAAAUUUUCCGAUGCAGAUUAUUUGAAACUGGAAGCACCAGAUUCUUUGAACUGGGCUUUUUGGUCAUGGAACAGAUGAGCCUAAUUAUGAAGGUAAACAUGUAAUUAUAUAUGUAAUUUGUUUCAACAAUCAUCGACUCUUAUACAUCCUCCUACUUAUCAAACACCAUCCAACCCAGCUGCGGCCAUCACAGAGUCCUUUUUCGGACAAUUUUGGACUUAUUGUUUUGGGCUUGUUUAACUUGGUUAAAUU
rnacentral:lncRNA from 1 species